rnacentral:rRNA from 1 species
CCUGGUUGAUCCUGCCAGUGGUCAUAUGCUUGUCUCAAAGAUUAAGCCAUGCAUGUUUAAGCAGAAGCCGCACAACGGUAAAGCCGCGAAUGGCUCAUUACAACAGCCGUCGUUUCUUGGAUCUCUAAAUUUACUUGGAUAACUGUGGUAAUUCUAGAGCUAAUACACGCACUAAAGCUCUGACCUUACGGGACGAGCGCAUUUAUUAGAACAAAACCAAUCGGGUUUCGGCCCGUUCGUUGGUGACUCUGAAUAACUCUGCCGAUCGCACGGUCUCGCACCGGCGACGUAUCUUUCAAGUGUCUGCCUUAUCAACUUUCGAUGGUAGUUUAUGUGCCUACCAUGGUUGUAACGGGUAACGGAGAAUAAGGGCUCGACUCCGGAGAGGGAGCCUGAGAAACGGCUACCACAUCCAAGGAAGGCAGCAGGCGCGCAAAUUACCCACUCUCGGCACGAGGAGGUAGUGACGAAAAAUAACGAGACGGAUCUCUUUGAGGCCCGUUAUCGGAAUGAGAACAAUUCAAAUCCUUUAACGAGGAUCUAGCGGAGGGCAAGUCUGGUGCCAGCAGCCGCGGUAAUUCCAGCUCCGCAGGUGUAUAUCUAUGCUGCUGCGGUUAAAAGGCUCGUAGUUGGAACUGCGUGCUCGGAACUGGUUGGCUCACUGAGCUCAUACUGGUCUCCGGCGCUUUAUUGGCUGGUUUUCCCUUGAUGCUCUUAACCGGGUGUCUUGGGUGGCUAGCACGUUUACUUUGAAAAAAUUAGAGUGCUCAAUACAGGCGCAAAGCCUUGAAUAGUGGUGCAUGGAAUAAUAGAAUAGGACCUCGGCUCUAUUUUGUUGGUUUUCGGAACGCGAGGUAAUGAUUAAGAGGGACAGACGGGGGCAUUCGUAUUGCGACGUUAGAGGUGAAAUUCUUGGAUCGUCGCAAGACGGACGACUGCGAAAGCAUUUGCCAAGAAUGUUUUCAUUAAUCAAGAACGAAAGUUAGAGGUUCGAAGGCGAUCAGAUACCGCCCUAGUUCCAACCGUAAACGAUGCCAACUAGCGAUUCGCAGGCGUUAAACAACGACCUUGCGGGCAGCUUCCCGGAAACGAAAGUGUUCGGGUUCCGGGGGAAGUAUGGUUGCAAAGCUGAAACUUAAAGGAAUUGACGGAAGGGCACCACCAGGAGUGGAGCCUGCGGCUUAAUUUGACCCAACACGGGAAAACUCACCCGGCCCGGACACCGUAAGGAUUGACAGAUUGAGAGCUCUUUCUUGAUUCGGUGGGUGGUGGUGCAUGGCCGUUCUUAGUUGGUGGAGCGAUUUGUCUGGUUUAUUCCGAUAACGAACGAGACUCUGGCCUACUAAAUAGUGGGCGGAUUCUUUCUGUCCGCAACACUUCUUAGAGGGACAAGCGGUGUUCAGCCGCACGAGAUUGAGCAAUAACAGGUCUGUGAUGCCCUUAGAUGUCCGGGGCUGCACGCGCGCUACACUGAAGGAAUCAGCGUGCUUUCUGACCUUGCCCGAAAGGGCUGGGUAACCCGAUGAAAAUCCUUCGUGAUUGGGAUAGGGACUUGCAAUUAUUUCCCUUGAACGAGGAAUUCCCAGUAAGUGUGGGUCAUAAGCUCGCGUUGAUUACGUCCCUGCCCUUUGUACACACCGCCCGUCGCUGCCCGGGACUGAGCCGUUUCGAGAAGAACAGGGACCGUCGUUGAAGGGCCCUAACGGGCUUUUCUCUGAUAGAAACUGUUUUAAUCGCAGUGGCUUGAACCGGGCAAAAGUCGUAACAAGGUU